rfam:Myotis lucifugus cont2.56223, whole genome shotgun sequence.
AGGGCUGCAGAGAGAGAGAGGUAGGGUCUGAUCUGCAGCCUCAGUGGCAGCUGUUGAUAAGCCCUUGCCUCUCUCUUUCUCUCUG